UACGAAGGGUGCAAGCGUUACUCGGAAUUACUGGGCGUAAAGCGUGCGCAGGCGGUUUUGUAAGCCAGAUGUGAAAUCCCCGGGCUUAACCUGGGAAUGGCAUUUGGGACUGCAAGGCUGGAGUAUGGCAGAGGGGACUAGAAUUCCUGGUGUAGCAGUGAAAUGCGUAGAUAUCAGGAGGAAUACCGAUGGCGAAGGCAGGUCCCUGGGCCAAUACUGACGCUCAUGCACGAAAGCGUGGGGAGCAAACAGG
rnacentral:rRNA from 1 species